CGUUUUUUGAUGAUUUGAUCUUUCAUCUCAUGAGAUAAAAUUGCAUGUCCAAACGCCUGCUAAGUGAAUAUAAAAUGACCAAAACAGCCCCUUACCUACCCCAACCAGAAGAGUUUAAUGACCAUGAACCAUGCCUUAUCUUCAUUUCUCUUCUUAUAUUAUAAAAUAUAGCUCAGUAACACAUCCAUCCUAUUUCUAUCCACUUUAAACACACACACACAAAAAUACACAUCUGUCUGCAAUUUUUUCUUUGGUAAGUUAUUUAGUUUCUUGCUUAACAAAGAUCAUGUAUUUUUGCUUGAAAUUGCAAACAAAUGUUUCUGUUUUUGUCGCUUGUUAGCUUAAACAGUGCAUUCAUCUGCAAUUUACACAGUACCUUUCUUUUGUUUAACACCAUCUUUUCCAGAUCUUGGAAAACAUGUACUCGCGUCCCAUAUUAGUUGUUUUGUUUCACUUUUUGAGAGCUCAGUGGACUAAUUUUUGACGUUAAAUAGAAUUAGACUAAUUUAAUAUUUUAAAAUUAUAAUUUAAAUUUUAAAAAGCUAUAUGAAAAGUAAUAUAUUAGUAGAAGUUUAUAUAGCUUGACUUUUAAAAAAGAAAAUUGGACUAAGUAAUAAGGUUCGGAGCAUUAUCUUUUUUGAUAUAAUUGCUGUAGAGGGUUCUUUCUCUGGGAUCUCUUAGCUUAAACAGUAUAUUACUUUCAAUUUUGAUACAAAUUUACUAGUUCUGUUCAAUCAAAAUUGUACCUUUUUAUUCAAAUUGCUAUAAAGGGUUCUUGCUCUAGGAUUUGUUAGCUUAAAAAUAAUAUUUCUCUGCAAUUUUGAUAUUUUUUCUUUGUGUCAAAAUCAGAUCUUUUUCUUCAGAUCGGUAGAAAGGGUCUCUCUUUCUUGGAUUUAUAGAUCAAGAUUGUAUCUUUUCCUUCAAAUUUUCUCUAAAGGGUGUCACUCUCUAGGAUUUCUAAGCUUAAAUUUUUUUUCCCCCCGUUUUUUCUAAGCUUAACUAAUGAUAGUUUAUCUGUGCAUGGUAAGUAUACAUCACGUUACGAUUCGAUGUCAUCUUUCUCCGACGACGAUUUUGUUUUGCAGGCAGAAGAAGCUCUGAUUCAGCGACAACAUAGACAUAGGGACAGUGUCUUCAAAUCAAUUACCAUUCAAGAAAAUAUGGUCCUCGGUAUCAAGUGCUCUGAGUACAUAAUGGUGGAGAAUUGCCACCGAAAUUAUUCCGUCUCAAGUCUAGCACCAAUAACUGAGCAAUGUGGAACCUAUUUACUGUAGUAGUUGUGUGAUAAAUCGAGAAAUUUACUGCUACUCACUCCGGCAACCCUAUUCUUAAGGUUAAGGCAGCUCCCAUUUCACAAAGGCAUCUUGAGUACCCUUAAAUUCCUGGAUUUAUCACACAACAACGACUUUGGUUCCCCGUUGCUUUGCUCUCCUUGGUCCUGAAGUUGAUGUGCAAGUUUUAUUUGGUCCUGAGUUAGGCUUCAGCCUCUUCCGUUUCAACCCAAUGUAUAUAUGCAGCCCAACUUAGAUAUGUCUUAGCAUCAAUUUCAUCCCAACUUAGAUUUUGUGAAUCAAUUUUUUGUUGAUGACCCUCCGGUUGGAGAUGUGACUUCAAAUAAUUUCAGCUUAUCUAAGUUGGGCUGAAAUUGAUGCUACGAUAGAUAUAAGUUUGGCUGCAGAUCUACAUUGAGUUGAAAUGGAGGAGGUUGCAUUCCUAGGUUAGGACCAAAUAGAGCCUGUAGAUCAUGGACUUGACAAGGAAUAAUUUUGGUUGGAGUCUUUCGCUGUUAUAUACUUGGAGCACUUCAUAUUUGAGAUCCAUCGUCUUGGAUGGUAAUCAAUUUAAAGGAACUGUCCUAUGUCCUCUCCUCUAUGAUUCCGAUGGUUUGAUACAAGAAACAUGUAGCGCAUAUUGCGUUUCUUUAACUUAUUUAGUAGGUAACCUAUUUCACUUUUUCAUAUUAUCAAUUCUACUUUUUAUGGACAAUUACUUGUUAGUAUCUUUAUUAGUUUUGGUAGGGUAAAAGUACUUAUAUAUUGUCAGUGUAUAGAAGUUAAAACUCUUUUCAAUAACAGUGGUAUCUGAUCAGUUUGCACGUAACUGUACUUCUGUAUUCUCCCAUGGGUAUAAUCCACUAAGACUUAGGUUGAUGAUAAGAAAUCUAUCUUAUUUGCUGUGUCUCUAUUAGGCCUUCUACUUUCUUUUUUAGAAUUCAGUUCUGUUGUUCCUUUUACUUAGUUUUCGAUCAUUCUUAUCAAUCCAAAAAGAAUAAUUGUGGAUCAUUCUUGUAUAUUGGUAUACAAUUGGGAUUUGAAUAAACAUUUAGCCUCUAUGUAUAUAUGUAUAUUUGAUUAUCUGAGGUCUAUCUCCUACACCAUAGUUCUGAAUUAAUUGGAAUCCAUAACUUGAUAUCUACUUCAUUACAUUUAGGUUGCUUUACACUAUAUUUAUAGUAGCCCCUCAACCGCAUAGGGUAUUGCUAGAUAAUCAUUCAAUAAUAGACAUGGAGUAAAGGAAAAGAACAUGUGCUUUCUAUAAUCCAGUGAGCAUGAGUAAAUCAAAGUCAGCCAACAUUUGUUAUUCAAGUUGCAGUAAUUUUUCAUGAUCACAGACGCAGGCUGCUUAUUUGUUGAUUUUCUACAAUUGAAUGGGUUUGACCACUUUGGGAUCAGCUUGUGAGGUCAUCAGUAUUCUUUCUGUAUUCUCCUUAUUACUGCAUCCGUCCCAAUUUAUGUGGCAUCGUUUGACUAAGCACAAAGUUUAAGAAAAAAUGAACGACUCCUGAAAUUUGUGGUCUAAAGCAAACUAAGACAUUUGUGUGGCUAAAAAUAAUUUCAUUAAUUAAGGGUAAAAAGGGAAUUUUGAAGUUGAGUUGUUUUUAAAUAUAAUAAGUGACAUUCUUUUUGGGACAACUAAAAAGUAAAGUGUGCCACAUAAUUGGGAUGGACGGAGUAGAAUCUUUGGUAUCAAUUUCUCAGCAACAGCCCCAGGGGUUGGUUCUAAUGGCAAAGGUUGAGGGGACUUGUAUCUUUGGUCAUAAGUUCGAGCCCUGCAUCAAGCAAACUCAGUCUAGUAUUUAAGUGUGUUAGGGUAGAGGGCCGGGCCCAUCAUCCUCAAAUUUCGAGAGCUGCGGUUAGCCCAAAGGCUUGGCUUCAAACAGAUUUCUCGAACAUAGCGGUGAAAUAUAUGCCUUGUUGAACUUGAAUCCAGGCAUAUAGUUCAUCUGAUAUUGGUCUCAAAAUUUCUUUUACACUUUGUAAUAUUUUACCAUACUAGUGCCAUCUUUAUAGUUGAUUUUCCCUGUUCAUUUAUUUCCUCUUUGCGUAAGUGAUGAUAACUCAGUUUAGAAGACACCAUGAGGCUAAGCAAGUAUUUGUCUGACAGAAUUCGUCUGUUUUGCAAGUAUCUUAAUGAACACAAAGUGGAGGUAGUUGCAAAGCAGAUCCAGGAUUUUAAUUCAAUUAGUUCAAUCUUUAGGUUCUUAUCACUGAACUCAUUAUAUAUUUGAAAUUAUGGGUCCAAAAAAUAAUAUUUGUGAAGAUUUUGGUUUUUUUUUUUCUCCUACACUUGUGGGUUUUCCCAACCUACUACAUAAAGGUGUUAGGUUAAAAAAACCAUAUGCAUAUAUAAAUAUAUUAUCUGGUCUAUUCAAAAAUAUUGAACUCAUUCAUUUUUUGGAAAAGGGUCAAAAAUAUCCUUCUACUUUGUUUUAAUAGAUAAAUUUGUCCUCCGUUACAAUUUUGGGCUAUUUAUGCCCCUGCCGUCACUAAAGUAUUAAAAAAUACCCCUAUGUAGACGGAAACCCCCAAAUCCCCCAAAAUAACCCAAUUUUAAAAUUAAACCGCUUCAUAAGUAAAAACCUCCCAACUUAAUUAAUAACCCAUACUAAUAUUUACCCUCAAACGUAUUCUAUCUUGUCUUCUCUUUCAAUUAGGGUUCUUCUUAGGUGUGUUGGCCGAAAUAUUUACCCCCAAGUGUUGUCUUCCAUUGCUCAAGUAGUUUUCCCUUCUUAAUAGAUUUUCCCUCUCAUCAAGUAGUUUAGUGUAUGAAAAUUGAGCAAAAUAGUUGUUCAUCGCAAAAGAUGUGCAAUUGUGGUUUGGUUGCAAAAGUUCUGACUUCCACACUCCCGCUAAUUCGGGAAGAAGAUUUUUCAGAUGUCCUCGUCUGGAUGUAUGUCCAUUUAAGGAAACGAAACUUUAUAGUUAAAUGGACAUACAUCCCGACGAGGACAUCUCAAAAUUUUUCUUCCCAGAUUAGCGGGAGUGAUGGAAGUCAGAUUUUUCGCAAUCAAACCACAAUUGCACAUCCUAACGAACAACUAUUUUGUGACAUUUUCAUACUCUAAACUACUUGAUAAGAGGGAAAAUAUAUUUAGAAGGGAAAACUACUCGAGCAAUGGAAGACAACACUUGGGGGUAAAUAUUUCGGCCAACCCACCUAAGAAGAACCCUAAUUGAAAGAGAAGACAAGGUAGAAUACGUUUGAGGUAAAUAUUCGAUCGUAUGGGUUAUUAAUUGAGUUGGGGCAGGUUUUAAUGAUGGAGCAGAUUAUUUUUGAAGUAGGCUUAUUUUGGGGGUUUUCGUCUACAUAGGGGUAUUUUUGAAUACUUUAGGGACGGCAGGGGCAUAAAUAGCCCAAACUUGUAACGGAGGACAAACUUAGCUUUUAAAAUGAAGUAGAGGUUUUUUUUUUACCCUUUUCCCUUUAUUAUAUACUCCAUCCUCCUCAGGGUGGUUGGCUAUUUUAGCAUCCGGGUGGUUGUUGAAUUCAGUGAAUUGGAAGCAACUUUGGCCAUUGAUGUUUGCAAUUUUCCUGGAAUGAAUUCCAGAGAGCAGUAAAUAUGUUCACGGUUUUCUUUUUUCAGAUGCAAAAUGGAAAUGCAUUAUCCCUCAAUUUUGGGUAGUCAAUGUGCAGUUUAUAUGGUCUUCGGGCACUUUAUACUUGAUGAUCAUUGUCUUGAAUGGUGACUUUAUGGUUUUGCUGGCUUCCAGUGUCAACUCCGCCAGAGCUGGCUAGUGCUCCUUAUUGUGAAGAGAAGCUUGUGGUGAUAUUGGUAGAGUUGAUUGCUAUAUUCUUGUAAGAUUAUUCUUGUUCUCAAUAACAGUAGUUUCUACCAGCUUGUGCACAUCUCGGGUUAUCCACUAUUACCUAUAUUCUCCCACUAGUACAGCUCAAAAAGACUUGAAUAGAUAGAAAGAAAUUACCCUAUUUUUUGUCUCUGGUAGGCCUCUUUUUUUUUUUUUAGAUUUCUGUUUUUAAGCUUCAAUUCUAUUGUUUCUGUUAGUUAAUUGUAGCUCUCUUUCCUUGCUUUUACUAGUUGCCUUGGGGUUGACUCCAUGAAUAUUAUGCUCUUGGAUAUCGCUUUAUUUGUGUUGUCUUAGUCUUAUAGCCUGUUUGAUCAAACUUUUAAAAUCAACUUAUUUUAAAAAGUUUUUUUCCAAAAGUACUUUUCAAAAAAAAUACUUUUGGUGAAAAGUAGUUUGUGUUUGGCCAAUUGAUUUAAAAAGUACUUUUGAACAGCAAUUAGUGUUUGGUCUAAACUUUUAAAAAGUGCUUCUAAGAUUUAUUUAUUUUUCAAAAGUACUUUUCAAAAAAUUGUUUUUGGGCAAAAGCUAUUAUUUUAGCUUCUGAAAAAAUGUUUCCUGCUACUCCCCAAAAACACUUAUUUUUCUCCCAAAAGUUUGGCCAAACACUUCACUUUUUUUAAUAUAAGCACUUAUUGAAAAAAUAAAUACUUUUUUGAGGGAAAAUAAGCUUGGCCAAACAGGCUAUUAGACUAUUUCUACAUUGUUCGUCAACGUACUGAAAAUCUCUUCUUUUAUCCAGUCUCGGCACUAGGUAUUCUUUGCUCACAUAAGUGUAUAUUUGUACAUUGAUGUGUAUUACUUUCUCUGAAAUGACCUCGAGAGAAAAGAAGUGUUAUGAUGCUUAUUUUUAGGCUGCAAAUGGAAAACCAUAGUUCAUCAAUUUGUGCAGUCAGUAUGCUAUUUAUAUGGUCCUCGAGGUGUCACGUUACUGAUAAAAAUGAACAUGUUAGUUAACAUUUUUAAUUAUGUUACUAUACCUUUUUUAUUUUUUUAUUUUUAUAAUAGUGGUGUUCGAGUCAGCUAAAGCGUACCUCGACUAGUUUACUAGGUACCUGCUAGCUCCUGCCAGCGCUUGUUCUGGGUAACUCUGCCUGCAAGGCUUAGGCAGAUGAAACAAAAUUAAAUCGCCUAGCGUUUUUUUUUUCUGCCCACUGCUAGGUCGGACCCUUGGUUGCUUUAUAUUACUGUACAUUUUUCAUUCUGUUACUAUACUAAUAGUGGUGUUCGAGUUAGUUAGAGCGUCCCCCGACUAUUUCACCGGGUAUUUGUUGCUACUUCCCACCAACAUUUGUUCUAGGCAACUCUGCUCACAAAGCUUAGGCAAAUAGAUAAGAAAAAGUUACCUAGCGUUUUUGUUUCUGCCUAUUGCUAGGCUAUACCCUUGGGUGCUUUAAGUUACUUUACAUUUUUCAUUAUGUUACUAUACUUUUCUUUUUAUAUGACAAAUGUGUUCGAGUCAGCUAGCGCGUACGUCAAUCAUUUCGCCAAGUAGCUGCUACCUCCAUACAACGCUUGUAUUAGCUAACUCUGUCAGCAAGGUUAGGCAGAUAGGAAGAAAUUCUAGUGUUUGUCUUAGGCCACUGCUAUUGGGUGCUUUAUGUUGUUGUACAAUUUUCAUUAUGUUACUAUUACAUUCCAGCACCUAUGUGUUGUGUAAUUGUCAUUUUUCAGCACAGUGCCUCAUCCUGCGUACUGCUUCAAACAGCCAAGAGCUAACCUUGACAAGCAAUGUGGUCGAAGUCAUUGCUUCGUCGCUUACUGAGAUGAAGCUAUGCGAAAUGAGGGGUUAUCAGUUUCUUGAAUGUUAACUUUUGGAGCUGAAUUUAUAUUGACGUUGUACAUUGGAUGGUGAAAUUAGUUAAUUUAAUUGGAAUUUGAUCAUUACAGUACUAAAUUCAUAUAUAUUUGAAAUUCUUGUUAUUUCUUCAUGCGCUUCACUUGAAAGAAGCAUGUGGUUCACUUCACGUUUUCCAUACAAGGCUCA